GGGAUAACUUGUUUGACAUAGGGGCUGCUAACUUCUGUUUGAGCGGUUUAAUUCCGUUCUUGUCUCU
rnacentral:tRNA from 1 species